CAGUGGCGCAAUCUCGGCUCACUGCAAGCUCCGCCUCCCGGGUUCACGCCAUUCUCCUGCCUCAGCCUCUCCGAGUAGCUGAGACUACAGGCGCCUGCCACCACGCCUGGCUCAUUUUUUGUAUUUUUAGUAGAGACAGGGUUUCACCGUGGUCUCGAUCUGCUGGCCUCGUGAUCCGCCGGCCUCGGCCUCCCAAAGUGCUGGGAUUGGAAGCGUGAGCCACCGCGCCCGGCCUCUUUGGCUUUCUAUGUGCAAGACACAAAGGAGGAAUAGCAGUCCACUGCGCGGAGUGGAGGAAGCGCUUCCAGGGAGGAGGAUUUACCUGGACCCCCUGGGCCUGCAGAAGUGCCCAAGUCCUCCCUCAGAGGAUAACAGGCUCUCCUUGCCUCAAGAUGACACCGCAGCCUUCAAAGUGGAAGACCAAACAUCCUGCCCUCAGAAUCCACCUACAACCUGUGCCGGCCACCAGAUUCAUCACUGGGGUUAAGUCACAACCACACCCACCUACAACCUGUGCCGGCCACCAGAUUCAUCACUGGGGUUAAGUCACAACCACGCCCACCUACAACCUGUGCCGGCCACCAGAUUCAUCACUGGGGUUAAGUCACAACCACACCCACCUGGGGACAUGCUGGGCCAGCCAGGGAGGACAAGACUACACCCCAAAGGAGCUAUGGACCCAGCCAGCAUGGAGCAGUGGGGGUGGGACAGUGCUCUUGGGACCGGAUCAAGUGCAGGAAGAGCUCGUGAAAUGGGGGACUUCUCCCGUUGUUUUGGACUCAAUUGUAUCCCCCAAAAAAUUCAUAGGUGGAAGCUCUAACCUCCAAUAUGACUGUGUUUGGAGAUAGGGCCUAUAAGGAGGUGAUUAAGGUGAAAUGAGGCCAUCAGGGUGAGACCCUAACCUAAUAAGGCUGGUAUCCUUAGAAAAGGAGGAAAAGGCACCAGAUCUCAUUCUCUCUCUCUCUUUCUCUCUCUCUCUCUCUUCCCCCUCCCUCUUCCUCCCCUCCCCUCUCCUCCUGCCUUACAUGCACAGAGGAAAGGCUAUGUGAGGACACAGAGAGAAGACAGCCAUCUACAAGCCAAGGAGCGAGCUCUCUCCAGAAACCAAUCCUGCUUGUACCUUGAUCUUGGACUUCCAGCCUCCAGAACCAGGAGAAAAUAAAUGUCUGCUGUUUGAGCCGCUCAGUCUGUGGCUUCUUCUUAUGGCAGCCCGAGAUGACUAAGACACCAGUCAUGCCGGAUUUAACAGCAGGAGACAGCGCUAAUGCACUGCUGAAGUGGCUCUUGAAACUUGGAGAAAGAUGGCAGAUGACAGAAGAAGGGAUCAAAAGACAGGGAAGUGGGCAUGGCCCGGAGCAGGCAGAAAACCCACCAGGUGACAGCGUUCCACAAGACACCACCGAGGACGUCCCACUGACCCAGCACCAGCUUCACCAGGUAGCUCAGGGGUGGGGCUGUCCACCAUAGGCCAGGGUGGGUGGUGGGAGGUGCCGUUACAGAACCAGGCUUGCUGAGAGUGCUGGGAAUAAGAGGAUCCAGAAAUAAGGGGCUGGGAGCCUGCACCAAACCACCGGAAGCAAGGUCAGUGCAAUCACCUUAACAAGCAUCAAGGCGGGAACGCAGUGAGGUCCACGGCAAGCCAUGGAGAUGCUUGAUAGAAAACGGCACCUGGCUGGGUGUGGUGACUCAUGCCUAUAAUUCCAGCACUUUGAAAGGCUGAGGCAGGUGGAUCACCUGAGGUCAGGAGUUCAAGACCAACCUGGCCGACAUGGUGAAACCCGUCUCUACUUAAAAAAAAAAAAAAAAAAAUUAGCCGGGCCAUGGUGGCUGGCACCUGUAAUCCCAGCUACUCAGGAGGCUGAGGCAGGAAAGUUGCUUGAACACAGGAGGUGGAGGUUGCAGUGAGCCAUGAUCAUGCCAUUGCGCUCCAGCCUUGACAACAAGAGUAAAACUCUGAAAAAAAAGAAAGAAGAAAGACAGAAAGAAAGGAAGGAAGGAAGGAAGGAAGGAAGGGAGAUGGAAGGAGGGAAGGAGAAGGAAGGAAGGAAGGAGAGAGAGAGAGGAAGGAAGGAAGGAGAAAGAAGAAAGAAAGAAAGAAAGAAAGAAAGAAAGAAAGAAAGAAAGAAAGAAAGAGAAAGGAAGAAAAAGAAAGAAAGAAAGAAAGAAAGAAAGAAAGAGAAAGAAAGAAAGGAGAUGGAAGGAAGGAAGGAAGGAAAGAGAGGAAGGACUGAAGGAGAAAGAGAAAGAAAGAAAGAAAGAAAGAAAGAAAGAAAGAAAGAAAGAAAGGAAGGAAGGAAGGAAGGAGAUGGAAGGAAGGAAGGUAGGAAAGAGAGGAAGGAAGGAAGGUAGGAAAGAGGAAGGAAGGAAGGAGAAAGAGAAAGAAAGAGAGAGAGAGAGAGAGAAAGAAAGGAAGGAAGGAAGGAAGGAAGGAAGGAAGAAAGAAAGAAAGAAAGAAAGAAAGAAAGAAAGAAAGAAAGAAAGAAAGAAAGAAAGAAAGAAAAGAAAGAAAGAAAGAAAAGAAGGAAGAAAGAAAGCGGCACCCUAGGGGCAAAAUAGAUGGAUGACUGACACAGGUGAGACUUGGCCCAUCCUCUCUGGACAAAUCAAGGCAGACGGGGUUAGGAGAUUGAGGGUAGCCACCCAAAGAGAAAUUCUGAUCCCUUCCCCAGUGUCCAGACCUGAGCCAGUUUUCAAGUCCAAAUCCCAUCUACUGAAGGGAAAAGCGUGUUCCCAGGAAGAAAGACUCUGCAACAUCGUGUCAAAGGCCUAUGGGAAUCCCCUACUCCUUCCCCAACAGGACUGAUGCUCAUUGACUCAGGUAACCAGACACUAGGGAAAAAUACCCCAAUAUUUCAAGAAAUGUGGCUGAAAGCAGCAAUAGACGUUUAUGAUCAUCCUGGUGUCUGCAGGUGAAGAAUCCAGGGUGGCUUCGCUGUGUGUUGCGCCUCGUGGGCCUCCCUGAGGUUGCAGUCAGGAUGUCCUCUGGAAUGGCUGGGCCUGGGCUGGAGGGCCUGCUUCCAAGGCACUCACGCCCGGGCUGGCAAGACAGUGCCGGCUGUUGGUGGGAGGCCUCCGUUCCUCCCUAGGUGGGCCUCUCCACAGAUGGCUCGAGAGUCCUCAUGACAUGGUGGCCGGCUUGCUCCAGUAUUAGGGCCCCACACGAGGGUGUAACAUCGCAUCAGGCCAAGGGCUCCACUUCACAGCAAAAGAGGUGCAACCGCAGGCACACUCAUGGUGUCUAGUGGUCCUAUUACGUGCUGUACCACCCAGAGGCUGCUGGCUGAUGGGGGAAUGGAGUGGCCAGUUGAAGGCUUAGCCACAGAACCAGCUUGGAGGUGCCACCUGUGAAGCAAGGGCACCAUCCUCCAGGGUGUAUGUACACCCCAAGUCAAUGACCAGUACACAGUGUCCCCAGUGGGUAAAAUACCUGGGCCUAAGAACCAAAGAAUGGAAGCAGGAAUCGCCUAAUUUAGCAUCACUCUCAGUGACCUACUUGGAGAAUUUGUGCUUCCUGUCCACACAACUGCGGAGUCUGCAGGUUCAGAGGUUCUGGUUUCCAAAGGGGAAUGCUUCCACCAAGCAACACCAGUCAUGCCAGGCUACUCAUGUCAAGACACCAGUAGGCAGGGGAAGAGUCACCCAUCGAGCAGGGGCAGUUGACCUGAACCGUCAGAGGAGGUAGGGUUGCUGUCACGCAAUGGAAGCAGAGAAGACUGUGUGCCACCCACAUGGGUGUCCCUCAGGACUCUUUCACCUGAUGUAGUCAGCAAAUAGGCAAGUAAGCAGCUAUGGCUCAAGAAGGGAAUGGUCACCAGGGGCUCAGCCUCGUUGGUGAGGAUCUGGGGCAACCCACCAGGUAAGCUAUCUAGUCCAGCAUGGGUCUAGUUGAGGGUGAAAAGGAUCUGAAUGAAUAAUCCAGGAGGGGGUUGUGAGUAUCAGCUUCAAGCCUGAGACUAGCUGCAGCAAGAGCUCAUGCAAGAGCCUUGAGGAAAGUACAAAUGAAACCCUACACAGCUGUGAUACAGUGGGCGGGAGAGAAAAUGACAUGAGGUCUCACAUGUGGAUGUAGUCAGAUGGGGGGCUGCACCUGAAACAGCAUGGUGAUCUUGAGCUGCUCCGUGUGGUCUGCCCCAUGUGGGCUGGUUGGGCUUCCUCACAGCAUGGUGGCCUCAGGGUAGUUGGACUGCUGACAGGGCAACUCAGGCCUCCAUGCAUGAGUGCUCCAGUGAACAUGGAUGUCAUGGAAGUCACACAGUACCACUUUCAUUACAUUCUGUUUGUAACAAGUGUGUCACAAGCCCACCCAUGGGCCAGGCACAGUGGCUCAUGCAUGUAAUCCCAACACUUUGGGAGGAUCCCUUGAGGCUAGGAGUUUGAGACCAGCCUGGGCAACAUAGAGAGAUCUUGUCCACAAAAAAGAAAAGAAAAGUUAGUUGGGCAUGGUGGCAUGCACCUAUAAUUUCAGCACUUUGCGAGGUGGUGGUGGGAGGAUGCCUUGAGCCCAGGAGUUCAAGAUCAGCCUGGGCAACAUAACGAGAUAUUAUAUCUUAAAAAAAAAAAAAAAGUUUUCAUUAGCCAGGCAUGAUGGCACAUACCUGUGGUCUCAGCUACUCAGGAAGCUGAAACACGGGGAUCACCUGAGCCUAGGAGUUUGAGGCUGAAGUAAGUUAGGAGUCCACCACUGCACUCUGGCCUGGGCAACAGAGCAAGACUCUAUCUCUAAAAAAAACAAAAAUUAAUAAAAUAAAAAACAAUAAAUAAACAAGAUUCAAUGGAAGGAGAUAUAGACCCUAUCUCCCAAUGGGAAGAAUGUCAAGAUCAUAUUGUAAACCAAAAAUAAAAUUAUAAGCCCCAGCUGACAGAAUGGACCCCCUUUUGGCCAAGGGGACCCCAAAGAAAUCCAAAAAAUUAGUUCAGGCCAUGAUGGGAAGUGGGAGGUCACACAUGCUUCAUUAUAGCCUGCUCCCUUUAAGUUUCGGCACAGCUGACCAGCAUUAACAUUAACAUAGAGAUCCUCCUAAGACUGACAGAACACUCUUCGUAGCAAUCAGAUACCCGACUCUAACGUGACUCCGGUAUAGCAACACACGACACAGAGCAGGCCCUAAAGGAAACUAAAGUAUUUUACCCCAAAAUAAAUUUUCUUUGACAUAUUUUGAAAUGGCCUUGCAAAGUCAUCUCUUGUGGGGGAAACUUGCAUUCUCUAGAGAAUCUCCUUCCUUACUAGCUCUUUUCCAGAGAGUCUGAUCCCUUUUAAGGUCCCCAGAGACAUGCACAUCUAUUCUUUCUAAAGCCUGCUAACUGGAGGCUUCAUCUAGGUAACAAGAACCUUAGCUUCCACAUCCCCAUUGUCUUAACUCAAGCAUUUCUUUCUGCGGACUCUGACUCUUCAGGUAAAGCUUAACUCUUUUAACCGAUUGCCAAUCAGGAAAUCUUUGAAUCCUCCUCUGACCUGGAAGCACCAACCACCCACUUCAAGGUGUCCCACCUUUCUGGGCCAAACCAAUGUAUACUUUACAUAUACUGAUUCAUGUAUUUGCCUGUAACUUCUGUCCCCAUAAAAUGUAUAAAGCUAUGGCCCAACCACCUUGGGCACCUGUUCUCAGGACCUCCUGAGGCUGUGUCACAGGCCAUGGCCACUCAUAUUUGGCUUAGAAUAAACCUUUUGAGAUAUUUUACAA